rnacentral:rRNA from 1 species
GCAGGUGUUCGUGAAGCCUGACAGAAAGUGUAACCGUGGAUGGCUCAUUAUAACGCGGAGAAUCUAUUUUGCGAAGGAUUCUAUAUGGAUAACCGUGGAAAAGCUGUGGCUAAUACAUGUUUCGGCGCCACGCUGUGGACGGCUGGUGCCUUUGUCUGACGAAGCAAACGUCUUUUUGAGUCUCGCGACUCUGGAGAUUGAAACAUUGCGGAUUAUUACGGGCAACGAGGUUGAUCGCAGGGUCUUGGACCGGCGACGAUUAGAACAACUUUGCGAUCCAUCAGACUUGGACAGGUCGGACGAUGCGUGAAGUGGUAGAGACGGGUCACGGAGAAUUUGGGUUUGGUUCCGGAGAGGAAGCUUGAGAGACGGCUGCUACAUCCACGGAAGGCAGCAGGCACGAACAUUACCCCAUGGCCGAUGGCCGAGUUAGUGACGAAAAAUAACGAUACGAGACUCUUCCGAGGCCUCGUAAUCGGAAUGAGAACAGCACGAAUCCUUUACCGAGGAUCUAAUGGAGGGCAAGUCUGGUGCCAGCAGCCGCGGUAAUUCCAGCUCCAUUGGCGUAUAUUAAGGCUGUUGCGGUUAAAAGGCUCGUAGUUGGAUAUCGGCUUUCCGAGGGCGGUCGGUCGAUCGUCCUGUUUCGGUGGCCUAAUCGGUCGAUGGUCCGGUGGGGAUUCGCGCGCUCUUCGGAGUGGCGUGUGCCGGGGCAACCGCAGAUUUACUUUGAAGAAAUCAGAGUGCUUAAAGCAGGCGAAAUACGCCAGAAUAUGUUUGCAUGGAAUAAUGAAAGAUGACAUUGCCGGCGUUUCGUUGGCUUUCGAUGGUGGUGGGAAUGAUCUAUAGAGACACUUGGGGGCGAUGGUAUUCGUUGCAAAGAGGUGAAAUUCUGUGAGCCAACGAGGACGGGCGAGAGCGAAAGCAGUUUGCUAGAUUGUCUUUGCUAAUCAUGAACGAAAGUUAGAGGUUCGAAGGCGAUCAGAUACCGCCCUAGUUCUAACCAUAAACGCUGCCGAUUGGAGAUCGGCAGCGAUAACUUGCAACAGUCGGAGCAGGGAGCCCCGGAGAAAUCUGUAAUUGGGCUCCGGGGGGAAGUAUGGCUGCAAAGCUGAAACUUAAAGGAAUUGACGGAAGGGCACCACCAGGGGUGGAGCCUGCGGCUUAAUUUGACUCAACACGGGAAAACUCACCAGGUCCGGACAUUGGAAUGAUUGACAGAUUGACAGCUCUUUCUCGAUUCGGUGGGUGGUGGUGCAUGGCCGUUCUUAGUUGGUGGAGCGAUUCGUCUGGUUAAUUCCGAUAACGAACGAGACUCGGACCUGCUAACUAGUGCCCCGACCAAAGAUUCUUCCGCGGUCGGGGAAGACGUGUCUUCUUAGAGGGACUGGCGGUGUUCAGCCGCACGAAAUCGAGCAAUAACAGGUCUGUGAUGCCCUUAGAUGUUCUGGGCCGCACGCGUGCUACAAUGGAAGGCACAUCGCGUUGUUACCCGCUUUGACAGGGGUGGGCAAUCACUUGAAUGCCCUUCGUAGUCGGGACCGUGGCUUGCAAUUUUUCCACGCAAACCAGGAAUCCCUAGUAGACGCGAGUCAUCAGCUCGUGUCGAUUACGUCCCUGCCCUUUGUACACACCGCCCGUCGCUACUACCGAUUGGCCGCUUUAGUGAGGGCAUUGGACUGACUCAGUAGGGCUAUCGCUGCCGUUGGAAAGAUGUCCGAACUCGAUCGUUUAGAGGAAGUAAAAGUCGUAACAA